rnacentral:ncRNA from 2 species
CUCUUAUCCAGAGCGGCGGAGGGACUAGGCCCAAUGAAGCCCGGCAACCUUCAAGGUAACCCCUUGAAAAGGUGCUAAUUCCUGCAGGUUAUAUUUAACCUGAAAGAUAAGAG